rnacentral:rRNA from 1 species
GACGAACGCUGGCGGCGUGCUUAACACAUGCCAGUCGAACGGAAAGGCCCUGCUUUUGUGGGGUGCUCGAGUGGCGAACGGGUGAGUAACACGUGAGUAACCUGCCCUUGACUUUGGGAUAACUUCAGGAAACUGGGGCUAAUACCGGAUAGGAGCUCCUGCUGCAUGGUGGGGGUUGGAAAGUUUCGGCGGUUGGGGAUGGACUCGCGGCUUAUCAGCUUGUUGGUGGGGUAAUGGCUUACCAAGGCUUUGACGGGUAGCCGGCCUGAGAGGGUGACCGGCCACAUUGGGACUGAGAUACGGCCCAGACUCCUACGGGGGGCAGCAGUGGGGAAUAUUGCACAAUGGGCGGAAGCCUGAUGCAGCAACGCCGCGUGCGGGAUGACGGCCUUCGGGUUGUAAACCGCUUUCGCCUGUGACGAAGCGUGAGUGACGGUAAUGGGUAAAGAAGCACCGGCUAACUACGUG